rnacentral:rRNA from 1 species
UACAGAGGUUGCAAGCGUUAAUCGGCAUUACUGGGCGUAAAGCGCGCGUAGGUUGCAAGUUAAGUCGGAUGUGAAAGCCCUGGGCUCAACCUAGGAAUUGCAUUCGAUACUGGCUAGCUCGAGUUUGGUAGAGGAGAGUGGAAUUCCCGGGGGAGCGGUGAAAUGCGUAGAUAUCGGGAGGAACAUCAGUGGCGAAGGCGGCUCUCUGGACCAAAACUGACACUGAGGCGCGACAGCGUGGGGAUCAAACAGG